UUCCUCAGUUUCCCGAGUGGGGACGGAAGGUCGACCCCAGCGCAGCGCGGCCGCGAGGCUCUUGAGCCACAGCCGACGGCAACGAGGAAACAUUGUAACAACGCUGGGAAUUAUUCUGCGCAGCGGCGGUGAGAAUCAACCACCGGCCGCCCUCUGCCUGGCCCGCGGUGCCUCGGCGUCCCGAAAGUCUCCGCGUGGGUCAGCGCGCGGCCCGGGGGCUCCAGGAGACGGCUCGCACGCCAGCCCGGGAAUUCGGGUGACAUGUGAAACCUGACGGGGGACCAGGGCUCAGAGGGAAGACCCGCAAAGCCCUUGAGGCGUCUGAGGACGGGGAAGCCAGCCGGCCCCGGCUCAGGCUCUGUGGCCAAGGGGAGACAGGAGCAGCAGGGCACGUCUCACCUGUGAUUCCAGAGUCUCGGAGGCUGCCGGAAAGGGCUGGUUUUCCCGAGGAUGAGGGAGCCUCACCCCUGGCAGAGAGGCUUGGGGGCAAUUCUCACUUCUGCCCUCUUUCUCCUGGGCUGCUGGGGACUUUCCGAUUUCCAGCAGCAAUUUCUUCAGGCUUUGGAGCCGGAGGAAGUGACUUCUUAUUUCGGCCCUGAAGCUACUUUAAAAGUGCCUCCGUUCCGUGUGGCCCCUCUCAGCUGCGUCUGUGAAGACAGGCCCCGGGGGUUUCCCUGCAUGACCCCGCGCUGCUCCCUGCACGCCUGGGGCCGGCGCAUCGCCGUCUCCUUCCCACCUGAGCGGAGCCUCCUGUCCGGGUCCUUCACCAGCGAGCGCGUGCUGAAUGCCUCCCUCCGGCUACUGAGGCGGCUCACCCACCCCUGCUUCACGGGAGGCCGCCCCCUGCUGCCCCCGGGCGCCUGGGCCAGAGUCACUUACUGCUCGGGCGGCUUGGAGGGUGACAUCCUGGUGGGUGCGGACAGGUUCUACGUCCAGCCGGUGAGGAGGCAGCACCAGGAGCUGGUGCCUCCCUGGGUUCGUGCCCAGCCACACCUGAUCCACAGGCCUGUCCCCAAGGUCCCCACAGUCCCCGAGGCCCCAGAAGUCAUCCAAGGCCGUCUUCCUUCCCCUCGCGUCCGGAGACGGGCUGCGGGGAGUGUCCUGCACUUGGAGCUGCUGGUGGCCGUGGGCCCUGACGUCUAUCAGGCUCACCAGGAGGACACCGAGCGCUACGUGCUCACUAACCUCAACAUGGGGUCAGAGCUGCUGAGGGACCCAUCUCUGGGGGCUCAGUUCCGAGUACAUCUAGUGAAGAUGGUCAUCCUGACCCAGGCCGAGGAUGCUCCAAGCAUCACGGGCAAUAUCACAGCGUCACUGCUGAGUGUCUGUGAGUGGAGCAGGACGGUCAACCCCGAGGACGACGCAGAUCCGGGGCAUGCCGACCUGGUCCUCUACAUCACCAGGUUUGACCUGGAGUUACCAGAUGGUAACCGGCAGGUUCGAGGGGUCACCCAGCUGGGGGGUGCUUGCUCAUCCUCCUGGAGCUGCCUCAUCACUGAGGAUACUGGCUUUGACCUGGGGGUCACCAUCGCCCAUGAGAUCGCACACAGCUUGGGCGUGGAGCACGACGGUGCACCGGGCAGCGGCUGCGGGCCCAGCGGCCACGUGAUGGCAUCUGGGGACGCCACGCCCGCCCCUGGCGAUCUGUCCUGGUCUGCCUGCAGCCGCCGGCAAGUGCUGCAGCUGCUCAGCGCAGGACGGGCGCACUGCUUGCUGGAUCUGCCGGGGCCGCAGGCGGGGACCGCGGGGCGCCCUCCCCCGGCGCAGCCAGGCCUCCUCUACGGCGCAGACGAGCAGUGCCGCGUGGCCUUUGGUGCUAAGGCCGUGGCCUGCACCUUCACCAGGGAGCACCUCGACAUGUGCCAGGCUCUGUCCUGCCACACGGACCCCCUGGACCAAAGCAGCUGUAGCCGCCUCCUUGUUCCUCUCCUGGAUGGGACAGAGUGCGGCAUGCAGAAGUGGUGCUCCAAGGGUCACUGCCGCUCCCUGGCGGAGCUGAGCCCCGUGGGGGUGGUGCACGGGCACUGGUCUAGCUGGGGUCCCCCCAGCCCUUGCUCUCGCUCCUGCGGAGGAGGUGUGGUCACCCGGAGGAGGCACUGCAAUAAUCCCAGGCCUGCCUUUGGAGGGCGUGCGUGUGUGGGCGCUGACCUCCAGGCUGAGAUGUGCAACACCCAGGCCUGUGAGAAGACCCAGCUGGAGUUCAUGGCCGAGCAGUGCUCCCAGACGGACGGGAAACCGCUGUAUCUGUCCCCAGGCAACGCCUCCUUCUACCGCUGGGGCCCCGCUGAGCAGUACAGUCAAGGGGACGCUCUGUGCAGACACAUGUGCCGGGCCAUCGGCGAGACCUUCAUGGUGAGGCGUGGGGACCGUUUCCUGGAUGGGACCCGGUGUGUGCCAAGUGGUCGGCAGGAGGACGGGACCCUGAGCCUGUGCGUGGCGGGCAGCUGCAGGACAUUCGGCUGUGACGGCGCGAUGGACUCCCCGCAGGUGCGAGACGUGUGUCAGGUGUGCGGAGGGGACAACAGCACGUGCCAGCAGCGGAAUGGCUCUUUCACGGGCGGAAGGGCCAGAGAGUAUGUCACGUUCCUGACCGUGACCCGCAACCUGACCAGCGUACACAUCACCAACCGGAGGCCUCUCUUCACGCACCUGGCCGUGCGGAUCCGAGGGCGCUACGUCGUGGCGGGGACUUCCAGCAUCUCUCCCAGCACCACCUACCCCUCCCUCCUGGAGGACAGCCGUGUGGGGUACCGAGUGGCCCUCACCGAGGACCGGCUGCCUCUCCUGGAGGAGAUCCACAUCCGGGGACCCAGCCAGGACGACGUGGAGAUCCAGGUUUACAGGCGCUACGGGGAGGAGUAUGGUGACCUUGCACGCCCAGACAUCACCUUCACCUACUUCCAGCCUAAGCGGCCACAGGCCUGGGCAUGGGCCGCCAUGCGGGGGUCCUGCUCCGUGAGCUGUGGGGCAGGGCUGCGCUGGGUGACCUACGGCUGUCUGGACCAGGCCAGGAACGAGUGGGCGGAGGCCGCCCGGUGCGAAGGGAGCCAGCAGCCGGCAGCCUGGUCAGAGUCCUGCGCCCCCAGGCCCUGCCCCCCAUACUGGGCAGCCGGAGACUUCGGCGCGUGCAGCGUCUCCUGCGGGGGAGGCCUGCGGGAGAGGGCGGUGCGUUGCGUGGAGGCCCAGGGGACCCUCCUGAGGCCGCUGCCCCCUGCCCGGUGCAGAGUGCUGGCCCCAGAGCCGGCAGUGGUGGAAGCCUGCAACCUCCAGGCCUGCCCAGUGAGGCAGGAGGGCUCAGACGCGUGCUCGCCAGCCUGUGGAGCAGACCCGGCUUUGUGGAAUAGGACAUGUGUGCGCAGGACAGAGGGCCUGGCCACCGCGGGGCCCUGCCCCACAGACGAGAAGCUGCCUACCCAGGAACCCUGUGUGGCCACAGCAUGUUCUCCAGAACCAAGCGAUCCAGACCCCCGGCCUCUGGAGGAGGAGGCCACAUCCCCACCGGGCGGCGCUGGGGUGGGGGCUCACGCCGCACACAUGUGGACUCCCCUGGCGGGGCCGUGCUCUGCCUCCUGCGGUCGAGGCCUGAGGGAGCUGCGUUUCGUGUGCAUGGACUCUGUCCUGGGGACCCCUGUCCAGGAAGAGCUCUGUGACCUGGGAAGCAAGCCUGGGAGUCGGCAGGAAGCCUGUCGGGCUGCCCCUUGCCCAGCUUGGUGGGAGACCCGAGCCUCGGCACCGUGCCCAGUGACCUGCGGACGGGGCUGGGUGCCACUGGCUAUUCGGUGCGUGAGGCUGGACCAAGGCCACCCUGUCCCCCUGCCUCCCUCCGAGUGCUGGCGGGUGCCCAGGCCCAGCCCCGUGCAGGACUGCAGUCCGAAGCCCUGCCCUGCCAGGUGGAGGUAUAAGCUGGCGGCGUGUAGCGUGAGCUGCGGAGGAGGGUUUGCGCAGAGGCUGCUGUACUGUGCGCGGGCCCACGGGGAGCAUGAGGACGAGGAGGUCCUGCCGGAUACCCAGUGCCAGGGGCUGCCGCGCCCGGAGCAGCGGGAGGCCUGCAGCCCAGAGCCCUGCCCGGCCAGGUGGAAAAUCCUGUCCCUUGGCCCGUGCUCAGCGAGCUGUGGCCUCGGCACCGCCACGCGCUCCGUGGCCUGUGUGCAGCUCAGCCAAGGCCAGGAUAUGGAGGUGGAGGGGGCAGCCUGUGCGGCUCAGGUGCGGCCUCAGGCCAGCGUCCCUUGUGUCAUCACCGACUGCACCUACCGGUGGCAUGUCAGCUCCUGGACACAGUGCUCGGUCUCCUGCGGGGAUGGCACCCAGCACCGGCAUCACGCCUGCAUUGGACCCCAGACCCAGGCGCCCGUGCCGGCCGGCUUCUGCCAGCACGUGCCCAGGCCAGCCACAGUGCAGAGCUGCUGGGCCGGACCCUGCACCGGGCAGGGGACUCCCAGUCUGGCACCCCGCCAGGAAGCCACUGCUGCAGACCUGGCCGUGGCUGCUGCUUCUCUGGAGCGGCCCCAGCCCCGGGCCCCAGCUUCCUGGCUUCAGGGGCUCCUGCCUGGGCUCCAGGAAAGCCCAGCUGAGCCCAGUGCCUGCGGCUGGCAGCACCUUGAGCCGACAGGAACCAUUGACAUGCGAGGCCCAGGGCAGAUGGACUGUGCCGUGGCCAUUGGGCGGCCGCUGGGUGAGGUGGUGACCCUUCAGGUCCUGGAGAGCUCCCUCAACUGCAGGGCUGGUAGGUCUCGGGCCGUGUGCACAGCUGCUGCCCAGCAUCAGGCCGCUAUGCGCUGGGGAGCACAGCUCCCGGCUACCCCCGUCCCGGCACGAUGUGCCACAGGCAGCCCCACCUGGAAUCCUCAUGGCCGUCUGUGGACGGUGCGGGCUGGUCCUGUUGCACAGAUGGGGAAACUGAGGUUGUGUCUGGGGACUUGGAGCCACGUAGCUGGCAUGGGAGGGACCCGAUUGUGGCUCUGUCUACCCCAGGCCCCCGUGCUGCUGACGCUCACCGCACGGCCCCUUCCUAGGGGACAUGCUGCUGCUUUGGGACAGGUUCACAUGGAGGAAGACGUGCGGGAAGCUGUCUGGCUCAACCUUUAGCUCCAAAACAAACACGCUGGUGGUGAGGCAGCGCCGCACGCGGCCUGAAGGCGGGGUUGUGCUGCGGUACGGGAGCCGGCCUGCCUCUGGAACCCCCCACAGAGGCUGCCACCACGGACCCCCGCCCUGGCCCUGAUGUCCUUCAAGACCCUAAGGAUCCUCUGUGCGCAGCUUUCCCUCCCCCCGAGCUCUGUUCUGGUGCACCGUGCUCUUGGCUCAGCCCCCAUAGAGCUGCUGUGUGCACGCGUGCUUAUACGUGUGUGCGCGCACACACACAACUUCACGGAGGGGAUGGCAUCCCACGGCCCUCCUGGUGUCCUCUCUGGUGUCCCAUGGCCCUCUGGAGGCCCCUGGGGACUUGCUGUCCCCCAACAGCCGGGCUGGCUGAAUGUGGCUUCCCUAGCCAGUUCCAGAGGUUUCUGGGAUCCCCCUGGCUUUGCCUCUACAGAGACGUGACGCGGUCCCCGAACUCUCAGUGCCCUCACUGAGAGCACAGGCUGGCCGCCCCUUCUCACCGCUCUCCACUUCCUGGUCUUUUGCAUGUGGGCUUUUGCUCCCUGGGGGCCGGGGGUACAGGCAGGCGCUUCCCGUGGGUUCCUAAUAAUGGCAGUGGCCUUUGUGACAGGCUCAGUGCUAAGCACUUCUGCACGCGUGACGUGACCUAAGGACUGCUCUCCCAAUGCCUGCUCUUGUUCGCUUUACUCUGUGGAGGGGGGAUCUGGAGCUCAGAGCACUGAAAGCCUUCGCCUAGGGUCACACAACAGAGCGUGGUGGAGGUGGGGUUCAGCGGUGGCUUCUGUAGGGGAGGCUUGAUCUUGACAACACCACUGUAUCGCCCCCCGUCACUGCU